rnacentral:lncRNA from 1 species
GGUGACUGCAAUUUUAGCAGGUUUGUCGUCAGGGAGUAUGGGCCCAUGACCAAACCUCUAUGUGAUCUAUAAAGAACUGAAGUCCUAUCAAAGUGCACAACAGCAAAGACUCAUCACUGAACAUCUGGACACCAUUCCUCUUCAACGCCUGCAGAUGUUUUCAGUGGCAGGAGCGGCACGCGCCCGGCGUACGCAACACAAGCGCAUCUCAGGGGGCGUGGUCGGGGGGAACUCGCGGCGGGCCGCCGGCGUAUUGAAAAGGCCGCGCUGUUUCCAUCUCACAACUCAGAACAGGUCGAGAGUCCGGAGCACCUCUGCCCAUUGAAGCCACACGUGAACGCCACGAGCAAGACGCACGGCCAUUGGGCAUUCCAAAGAAAACUU